rnacentral:rRNA from 1 species
AUCACGGAGAGUUUGAUUCUGGCUCAGAACGAACGCUGGCGGCGUGGAUAAGACAUGCAAGUCGUGCGACAGACCAGGAAUUGAUUACUUCGGUUUGAUUUUCCUGACGAUGAGCGGCGAACGGGUGCGUAACACGUGAGAAACCUGCCCUAAAGUUCGGGAUAGCCCUACGAAAGUAGGAUUAAUACCGAAUGUGGCCAAGGAAGGGCAUCUUCCCUUGGCUAAAGCUCGGUUAUAGAGCGCUUUUGGAUGGU